GACAGAGGUGCCGAGCGUUAGGCGGAAUCACUGGGCUUAAAGCGUGUGUAGGCGGGCGAUCAAGUACCUUGUGAAAUCCCACGGCUCAACCGUGGAACCGCUGGGUAUACUGGUUGUCUUGAGCCGGCUAGGGGCGAGCGGAACAGACGGUGGAGCGGUGAAAUGCGUAGAUAUCGUCUGGAACGCCGAAGGUGAAAACAGCUCGCUGGGGCCGCGCUGACGCUGAGACACGAAAGCCAGGGGAGCGGAACGGG
rnacentral:rRNA from 1 species